CUGUGCACCUUCUGUANACCUGGAUAAACUCUCGAGGAAACUCGGUUUGAGGACUGCUGUGCGCAAAGCCAGCUUUCCUUGUACUUCCGGUCUAUGUUUAUAUACACCCCUAUAGUAUGUCUCAGAAUGUUUGUUGUUGGGCUUUGAAUGCCUUUAAAACUUUAAAUACAACUUUCAACAACGGAUCUCUUGGCUCUCGCAUCGAUGAAGAACGCAGCGAAAUGCGAUAAGUAAUGUGAAUUGCAGAAUUCAGUGAAUCAUCGAAUCUUUGAACGCACCUUGCGCUCCUUGGUAUUCCGAGGAGCAUGCCUGUUUGAGUGUCAUGAAAUUCUCAACCUUUUCAGCUUUUUCUGUUGAUCAGGCUUGGAUGUGGGAGUAUGCGGGCUUCUCAUCUCAGAGGUCGGCUCUCCUGAAAUGCAUUAGCGGGACCUUUGUUGCCUGGCUUUGGUGUGAUAAAUUAUUUAUGCCAUCGUGAAGAGCAGNUUUAUAAAUGGGGUUCAGCUUCUAAAUGGUCUCCUUUGAGACCAACUUCUGACAAUUUGACCUCAAAUC
rnacentral:rRNA from 1 species